rnacentral:rRNA from 1 species
ACAGAGGGUGCGAGCGUUGUUCGGAAUUACUGGGCGUAAAGGGCGCGUAGGCGGCCACCGCAAGUCGGUUGUGAAAUCUCCGGGCUUAACCCGGAAAGGUCAUUCGAUACUGCGGGGCUAGAGUGCAGAAGGGGCAACUGGAAUUCUCGGUGUAGCGGUGAAAUGCGUAGAUAUCGAGAGGAACACCUGCGGCGAAGGCGGGUUGCUGGGCUGGCACUGACGCUGAAGCGCGAAAGCUAGGGGAGCGAACGGGA